CCUACGGGGUGCUGCAGUGGGGAAUAUUGGGCAAUGGGCGCAAGCCUGACCCAGCAACGCCGCGUGAAGGAAGAAGGCUUUCGGGUUGUAAACUUCUUUUCUCAGGGACGAAGCAAGUGACGGUACCUGAAGAAUAAGCCACGGCUAACUACGGGCCAGCAGCCGCGGUAAUACGUAGGUGCCAAGCGUUAUCCGGAUUUACUGGGUGUAAAGGGCGUGUAGGCGGGACUGCAAGUCAGCUGUGAAAACCACGGGCUGAAGCUGUGGCCUGCAUUUGAAACUGUAGUUCUUGAGUACUGGAGAGGCAGACGGAAUGUCUAGUGUAGCGGUGAAAUGCGUAGAUAUUAGGAGGAACACCAGUGGCGAAGGCGGUCUGCUGGACAGCAACUGACGCUGAGGCGCGAAAGCGUGGGGAGCAAACAGGAUUAGAUACCCUUGUAGUC
rnacentral:rRNA from 1 species